rnacentral:rRNA from 1 species
GACGAACGCUGGCGGCGUGGAUUAGGCAUGCAAGUCGAACGGUAUCAUCCUUUCGGGGGUGAGAGAGUGGCGAACUGGUGAGUAACACGUAGGUUAUCUACCCUCAAGACGGGGACAACCCAGGGAAACUUGGGCUAAUACCGGAUGUGAGCAACUUUUAGUUGUUUGAAAGGUGGCGUAAGCUGUCGCUUGGGGAUGAGCCUGCGUCCUAUUAGUUAGUUGGUGAGGUAACGGCUCACCUAGGCAAUGAUAGGUAGGCGGCCUUAACGGGUGGUCGCCCACACUGGGAUUGAGAUACGGCCCAGACUCCUACGGGAGGCAGCAGUCGAGAAUAGUCUACAAUGGUCGGAAGACUGAUAGUGCGACGCCGCGUGAACGAUGAAUCCCUUCGGGGUGUAAAGUUCUUUUAUAUGUGAGCAGUGCUUCUUAUAUUAACAGUAUGGGGAGAGAGAUAUUAGCAUAUGAAUAAGACAACGGACGUAAACCUCCGUACGCCACGCACGCCGCCGGGUAAAAACGUAA